rnacentral:rRNA from 1 species
GACGAACGCUGGCGGCGUGCUUAACACAUGCAAGUCGAACGGAAAGGCCUGUCAUCCCUUGUUUUGGACGGGUACUCGUGUGUCGAACGGGAGAGUAACACGUGAGGAAUCUGACCCCAACUUGGGUAUAAGCCUGGGAAACUGUGGCUAAUUGCCGAAAGGACGGCAGGGGGGCGCGGGUGGGGGAGAAUGUUUUUCUCGUGUUUGGGGGUGAGCACGCGGCCUAUCAGGUGGUUGGUAGGGUAAUGGCCUAGGAGGGCGGCGACGGGGAGCCGGCCUGGGAGGGUGGACGGGCACAGUGGAACUGAGAUACGGCCCGGACUGCUACGGGAGGCAGCAGUGGGGAAUAGUACACAGUGGGGGGAAGCCUGAUGCAGCGGAGCGGCGUGGGGAAUGACGGCGUGCGGGUUGUAAACUCCUACGGGUCGUGAGGAAGCUGCCUGGUUGGAGGGGUGGUGACGGUAGUGGGAGAAGAAGCACCGGCUAACUACGUG